UACGUAGGCAGCGAGCGUUGUUCGGAAUUACUGGGCGUAAAGAGCGUGUAGGCGGCUCGAUAAGUCUGCUGUGAAAGUCCAGGGCUCAACCCUGGAAGGCCGGUGGAAACUGUCGGGCUAGAGUCCGGAAGAGGCGAGUGGAAUUCCCGGUGUAGCGGUGAAAUGCGCAGAUAUCGGGAGGAGCACCAAUGGCGAAGGCAGCUCGCUGGGACGGUACUGACGCUGAGACGCGAAAGCGUGGGGAGCAAACAGG
rnacentral:rRNA from 1 species